rnacentral:ncRNA from 2 species
UCUUGUCACCAGGGGUGCUGCCGAAGAAGGCCACGGCGGCUGAGACCAUACCCUUACGAACCUGAUCCGGUUAAGACCGGCGGAGGGAGCGUGACGUCGGGGACGC